GAGGGUAUAGCUCAGUGGUAGAGCACAUGCUUAGCAUGCAUAAGUUCCUGGGUUUAAUCCCCAGUACCUCCA
rnacentral:tRNA from 1 species